AGGGAGUUGAGCUGCAGACCGCACCUCUCAGGCCCCGCCACCGCAUCUGAGGCGUCAGUCCAGCCCGGAAAUGAAGUAACUACUGUACACUUGGACCGAAAAUAGUGACUCAACUGAGUUGAGAUCGAUUUUUUUGUUUGUUUGUUUUCUGCUCAGAGUAUGUCAGCGCCAUAGACAUCAUAUAACAACUUUGUAUAGGUGUAUGGUCAGCGCAGCCUCUCUGUCGGACCUCUGCGCCUCUCCCCUUCUCCCUCUGCUCUUCACUGCCGGAGCAGAGAGAGAGAGCGACCAAGGAAAGCGACGGUGGACGGAAAAAGAAGCGCUGUGUGGACUUAUUUCACAGCUUCAAACAAAGACACUGCAUCAUGUAAUGUGUGCAGAAAGACAUCGUCCCGAGAAAAGUGUGUCCAAAUGCUCCUCAGACAGGAUCCAACAGGUUGUCUCUGAAGAGUGACCGGUCCAUGGAUCUUCCACCAGUCUUCAGUGUUGAACCUGGACCUUCAGACACAAAAGAGAAGAAGAGGACUGAUGUGUGUGAGGAGCAACCAGAAAGAUCCAGAAGCGCCGCUGCACUAAGUAAGCGUGGACAUGUCUGCUGAGGGACUGGUCUGUCUUCACUGGACUUGUUUUGUUGUAGAGACAUGAAAGAUUGUUGUUUGUGUGCAGUGUGAUUGUUGUUGUUGUCUCUGAGCAGGUGUUGGUCUGCAGCAGCUUCUAGAAGAACAUAAGAAG